rnacentral:rRNA from 1 species
GACGAACGCUGGCGGCGUGCUUAACACAUGCAAGUCGAACGGAAAGGCCCUGCUUUUGUGGGGUGCUCGAGUGGCGAACGGGUGAGUAACACGUGAGUAACCUUCCCUUGACUUUGGGAUAACUUCAGGAAACUGGGGCUAAUACCGGAUAGGAGCUCCUGCUGCAUGGUGGGGGUUGGAACGUUUCGGCGGGUGGGGAUGGACUCGCGGCUUAUCAGCUUGUUGGUGGGGUAGUGGCUUACCAAGGCUUUGACGGGUAGCCGGCCUGAGAGGGGGACCGGCCACAAGGGGACUGAGAGACGGACCAGACGGCUACGGGGGGCAGCAGGGGGGAAUAUGGAACAAUGGGCGGAAGCCUGAUGCAGCAACGCCGGGUUCGGGAAGAAGGCCUUCGGGGUGUAAACCGCUUUCGCCUGUGACGAAGCGUGAGUGACGGUAAUGGGUAAAGAAGCACCGGCUAACUACGUG